GAUCGUUCGUCCAACACGCACGGAUCGAUCGCAGCAGUGCGAUCGCUAUUAUUAUUUGAGUACACGACGUACAACUAACUAUUAUACGUAAGUAUGCUAUUGUAUGUGUGUGUGUGUAUACGUGUGUGUGUGUGUAUUUCUUUCAAUGUCGUGAGUUUGUAUCCGUCUUUCUCACUCCUAACUCCCACUCGCUCUUCUCUGUUUCCCUCCUUCACUGAACUCCUUUCUAGAGGAAGAGAGAGA